GCUUAGCCCUAAACCUCGAUAGCUUCCAACAAAGCUACCCGCCAGAGAACUACUAGCAAAAGCUUAAAACUCAAAGGACUUGACGGUGCUUCACAUCCCCCUAGAGGAGCCUGUCCCAUAAUCGAUAAACCCCGAUAAACCUCACCCCCACUUGCUAAUUCAGCCUAUAUACCGCCAUCUUCAGCCAACCCUUAAAAGGUGCAAAAGUAAGCUCAAUGAUAGCCAUAAAAAAGUUAGGUCAAGGUGUAGCCCAUGUGGAGGUCUAAGAUGGGCUACAUUUUCUCUUAGAGAACAAUCAACCAACGGACGUCACUAUGAAACAAGUGACCAAAGGAGGAUUUAGCAGUAAAUUAAGAAUAGAGAGCUUAAUUGAACUAGGCCAUGAAGCACGC
rnacentral:rRNA from 1 species